ensembl:lncRNA
CGUAGGGUCAGGUGGCACAGCAAAGGCACUGAAGGCUUGGGAUUGGAAUGAAAACUGACAUUUUCCAGUCCUGUGGCCACUGCUGAGUUUUCCAAAUUUGCUGGCAUAUUGAGUGCAACACUUUCACAGCAUCAUCUUUUAGGAUUUUAAAUAGCUCAACUGGAAUUCUAUCACCUCCAUUAGCUUUUUUCGUAGUGAUGCUUCCUAAGGCCCACUUGACUUUCCAUUCCAGGAUGUCUGGCUCUAGGGUCCAGGGCACUGAGUGUGGCACUAAGUGUGGCAUUGUGUACACAGGACCUUUUGAAGGUCACCAUUUUCUUCAUUACCUCCACCAUAGUUUGCCCUCAGAUCAAACAACCGGGAGG